rnacentral:misc_RNA from 1 species
UGAAGAACGUAGCGAAAUGCGAUAAGUAAUGUGAAUUGCAGAAUUCAGUGAAUCAUCGAAUCUUUGAACGCACAUUGCGCCCAUUAGUAUUCUAGUGGGCAUGCCUGUUCGAGCGUCAUUAAGUCCACUUAAGCCCUGCUUAGUGUUGGGAGACUGCUCCAGCGGUGCUACCCUGUAGCUACCCUGCAGCUCCUCAAAGACAGCGGCGGAGUUGUGGUAUCCUCUGAGCUUAGUAACUUGUUCUAGCUUUCGAGUACACCACUUCCCCUGCCGUAAAACCCUUAAUUUUUAAUGGUUGACCUCGGAUCAGGUAGGAAUACCCGCUGAACUUAAGCAUAUCAAUAAGCGGAGGA